rnacentral:rRNA from 1 species
GAUGAACGCUAGCUACAGGCUUAACACAUGCAAGUCGAGGGGCAGCAUUUUAGUUUGCUUGCAAACUGAAGAUGGCGACCGGCGCACGGGUGAGUAACACGUAUCCAACCUGCCGAUAACUCCGGGAUAGCCUUUCGAAAGAAAGAUUAAUACCGGAUAGCAUACGAAUAUCGCAUGAUAUUUUUAUUAAAGAAUUUCGGUUAUCGAUGGGGAUGCGUUCCAUUAGUUUGUUGGCGGGGUAACGGCCCACCAAGACAACGAUGGAUAGGGGUUCUGAGAGGAAGGUCCCCCACAUUGGAACUGAGACACGGUCCAAACUCCUACGGGAGGCAGCAGUGAGGAAUAUUGGUCAAUGGGCGAGAGCCUGAACCAGCCAAGUAGCGUGAAGGAUGAAGGCUCUAUGGGUCGUAAACUUCUUUUAUAUGGGAAUAAAGUAUUCCACGUGUGGAAUUUUGUAUGUACCAUAUGAAUAAGGAUCGGCUAACUCCGUG